rnacentral:SRP_RNA from 1 species
CAAUAUGGGUGCCACGGAGGAGUCCGAGGCAUUCAGGUUGCUAAGGAGGGAUGAAACGGGCCAGGGGUGAAAACCAGCAGUCAAGAGUUCNN